GUACAGCCAAAUCUAAGCCGAUACACAGUGGCAAGUGUGAUAAGAACAUUUCGACUGGAAAAUAGGAUUGAGGGUCAGGAACGACGAGGGGGAAGGCCUCCUAUGUUCACAGAACAGCAAGAGAGGGAGAUAGUAAACAUGGUUUUGGCCAACAAUGCUAUAACCCUCAAUCAGCUCCAAGCUAACAUUGUCAAUAACCACGUCGGUUUCAACAAUAGCUAUCAGGUCUCAACAUCAACACUGGCACGCAUCCUAAUAAAAAACAUAUUCAAAUGAAGAAAAUUUAUCGAGUGCCUUUCGAGCGCAAUUCCGAAAGGGUGAAACGACUGCGGCAUGAUUAUGCAGAGAGAGUUUUACAAAUGGAUGGAGAGGAGAUCCAGC